rnacentral:rRNA from 1 species
GUGCCAGCAGCCGCGGUAAUACAGGGAGUGCAAGCGUUGUUCGGAAUUACUGGGCGUAAAGGGAGCGUAGGCGGAGCUACAAGUCAGGGGUUAAAGAUCCGGGCUCAACCUGGAAAGUGCCUUUGAGACUGUAGUUCUUGAGUAUGGCAGAGGCUAGCGGAAUUACCGGUGUAGCGGUGGAAUGCGUAGAUAUCGGUAAGAACACCAGAGGCGAAGGCGGCUAGCUGGGCCAAUACUGACGCUGAGGCUCGAAAGUGUGGGGAGCAAACAGGAUUAGAUACCCUGGUAGUCCAC